rnacentral:rRNA from 1 species
AUUGAACGCUGGCGGUAGGCUUACCACAUGCAAGUCGUGCGAGAAAGUAUCUUCGGAUAUGAGUAAAGCGGCGGACGGGUGAGUAACGCGUAGGAAUCUACCUAGUAGAAGGGGAUAGCCCGGGGAAACUCGGAUUAAUACCGUAUACCUCCUUCGGGAGAAAGAAGGCCUCUCUUUGAAGCUUUCGCUAUUAGAUGAGCCUGCGUAAGAUUAGCUUGUUGGUGAGGUAAUGGCUCACCAAGGCUACGAUCUUUAGCUGGUCUGAGAGGACGAUCAGCCACAUUGGGACUGAGACACGGCCCAGACUCCUACGGGAGGCAGCAGUGGGGAAUAUUGGACAAUGGGCGCAAGCCUGAUCCAGCCAUACCGCGUGUGUGAAGAAGGCCUUCGGGUUGUAAAGCACUUUAAGCAGGGAGAAAAAGUUAUAAGUUAAUACCUUAUAACCGUGAUGUUACCUGCAGAAUAAGCACCGGCUAAUUCCGUG